ACUCUGGCACUAAGGGGCACCUCUGCCAGGUUAAAGGUGGCAGAAACUCUGAGGAAGUCAAAGUGCCUGAGCAUGUGGGCCACUUUCUCAGCGUUCCUCCCUUCAUUCAGGAAGUCCAACUCGAGAGGCAGGUUCUUCUUCGCUUCAUCCACCAGCCACAUGAAUUCAAAAUCUGGGAAAAGUUGCUUCACGGCCAGGACAAGCACCUGAAAGCCACCAAGCAACCUGUCAGCCAGUCAGCCCACGGCCCCCACCACGGAAGGACAAUUAAUGCCAGAACAGCCAUGGUAUCACUACCUCAAGCAACAACAAAUGAGAAAACCCCUAGGGAACUUUGUUGUUGUUGUUUGAAAAGAAAAUAAGAGAGAGCGCAAGCCUUCUUUGGCAUCUGGAUGUCACCAGAGCUGAGCAGCUGUUUGGGAUCGACAAGGGACAGUACGUUAGAAGGACAAACCAGGAAGCUGAGGAAGCUACUGGACAACUAAAGAUGGGAAGAACCUUGGUGCUUACAAACCAUGGUGAGGUGUCAGAUCAGUCCACCUUGGGGCAACUGGUCCAGGUGCUCGCACACCUGAGAGGACGUGAGCAUCCCACCUGCGUCAUUUCUCUAUGGACACUCUACUUAUUGCAUCGCAACUCUUAUUGCUUCAACUCUUCCUGUCCUCCGUCCUCAUAUGAGAUGGCUGUUCGGAUUUAUAAGCGUGCCUUCCUAACAAAGCAAAUAUCCAGAGGCUAAGCCGAUCAGUCCCUCUCUGUUUAGUAGGAAUCACUUUCCAGGAAUCACUAAUCAGACUGACCUUCCUAUGGUGAGACACAAGCCUGAAGGCAUACAAUGCCCAGAACUGGUAUGGAAGAAAGCCCAGCAGUCUAUGCAGGUAAGCCAGACACCUACACCCGUCCAUCGGCUUCUGAACCUUAGGUGUCCCCUAAGAGUAAAACAUUCUCCUGCCACACAGGUGAGAGCCACUUUCUAGAGUUUUGUCAGCCCUAAAAUAAAGAUAUCACUUAGAUCUGGA
rnacentral:lncRNA from 1 species